rnacentral:rRNA from 1 species
GACGAACGUUGGCGGCGUGGAUUAGGCAUGCAAGUCGAGCGUGAUUCUCCAGCAGUGGGGAUGAAAGCGGCGAAGGGGUUAGUAACACGUAGAUACGUGCCCCCGGGUCCGGGAUAGCGGCGGGAAACUGCCGGUAAUACCGGAUAAUGUCUUCGGACCAAAUAUUUAUUGCCCGGGGAGCGGUCUGCGUCCUAUUAGCUUGUUGGUGGGGUAAUGGCCCACCAAGGCAAAGAUGGGUAGCGGGUGUGAGAGCACGACCCGCAACAUUGGGACUGAGACACUGCCCAGACACCUACGGGUGGCUGCAGUCAAGAAUCUUCCGCAAUGGACGAAAGUCUGACGGAGCGACGCCGCGUGCGGGAUGAAGGCCUUCGGGUUGUAAACCGCUGUCGAAGGGGAGCAAAUUUGAGCGAUCCUUGGAGGAAGCACAGGCUAAAUUCGUGCCAGCAGCCGCGGUAAUACGAAUUGUGCAAACGUUAUUCGGAAUCACUGGGCUUAAAGGGUGCGUAGGCGGCCAUGAAGGUCUGAUGUGA